UCUCUCUCUCUCUCUAUCUCUCUCUCUUUAUCUCUCUCUCUCUCUCUCUCGUUUUCGUUCUCCUACCUUUUAAUCCCAUCCGGCUUUAUAUCGCUCGUUAUUAUACGCACGAAAUUCAAACGAUGGCGGACGCGUCGCUGAUAAUGGAAUAAACUCUGUGAGCGCGAAAGAAUUCGCGCUGAAUUCAAUCCAAUCAUUCGCUGAAGCGAAAACAGAAAUCUAGUUAUCGUUACGUAACCAGUCGUCUCCACGUGCCGAUUAUUUUCAAUCAUUCUCGAACGUACCCUGCCAACGAGAGUAGUGCGAUAUUGCGUUCAUCAAUGCUGAUAAUUAAUUAUUCAAAAAUAUACCUAAACAAUCUCAGCGGGCCCGUUGCAGUGCCUAAAAUUCUCUCGUAAGCUUCAUAAGCGAAUAAAAACAUCUGUACAUAUUGAUUUAUAAAUUUUGUUCGUGCGUGUGAUAACCUACGAAUUAUCCAUUGUAUUAAUCAGUGUUUCUCUGAUGAAGGGAAAGAGAGAGAGAGAGAGAGAGAGAGAGAGAGAGAGUGAGUGAGUGAGUGAGAUAGAGAAGAGACAAUGUCUCCAUUUCGACGCAGAAUUUCAGCAUGUUGAUAGAAAUGUGACGCAACUAAUCGAGAACGGAAUAACGUUGGUAGCACGUGUCACUCUGCUCCAUCGUCUGAGCGAAGGGUUCGUGCUGUUGGUUAGAGGAGACGAAACCAGAGAAUAGCUAUUGUUUCGAUUCGACAAUGUCCCGCUACUCGAGCUUCAGUCUCUAGUACACGUUGCGGUCCAUAAUAAUAUGAUUAUAGGGCGAUGUACCUGACGACCCUCCAACUAAAACAUCAAAGAGAGACAAAGACAGACAAACAGAGAGAAAGGGAAGAGAGAGAGGGAGGGAGAGAGAGAGAGAUAGACAGAUAGACAGAGAGAAAGAGAAUGAGAAAGAGAGAAAGCUUCUAUUUCCAAGAGUCGAACAUUUGCGGAGCGUGGAUGAAAUUUUAGAGGAACGUUUCCUAGAUUUCACGGAUACCAGUCCAAUGUUAACGCUCACAAGAUUACAACGUGAAGUGACGCGUUUCGCGAACUCUACGUGUGGUGGUUCAUACUUUCUUCGAAUAAUUUUCGUUUGCGAGCUGUCGCGAAAUAUUUAACAUCCUAUAUACAUGGAAAUUAAUGUUUGCUUAAAAGAUACGAAGAAAGGUGUGAGAACGUCGAAUUUUUUACUACUCCUUCGGAAUCGUAAUUCUUUGUCGGUUGUAGAGAACUUUCGUACGGACUCGUGAAAUUUUCACAAAGAGCAUUAAAAAAAAAAAACUAGAACGUGAUUUGAUGAAAAUUGGCCCUAAAAGUAUCCAUAUUAAUAGUACAUAUAUUAUAUACAGACCUGAUUAAAUUACGGUCACGUUGCUGUAACACGUGCCUAGCCGUCUCCCGGCUUCACUUGCAGUUUGCCGAGGAGGAGAGAGGAGGUAGGGGAUGUAUGGAAAUGUGCCGUUGCACGAAAUAAUGCACGUGCGCAAGUGAAUCAAGUCCUUCGUUGUUGACGAAGAACGUACGUACACGGUUGUCGAGACCUACGAGUUUGCUUGGAAUACCUACAUUUACCAACAUCUUGAGUCGACGAGUUAGAAAUCGUAGUUUUCGCUUUAUGCGAUGAUUAGUGGAUUCUCAACUAAUUACGAAUCUGCCAAAGUUCGUAAAUAUCGUUCGUAAAUAUCCAUGAUACGAAUUGCACUCUCUCUCUCUCUCUCUCUCUCUCUCUCUUUCUCUCUCACUUUAAAUUUAUUUUUCAAGCAAAUUUAAUGUAUCUUUGAUUUAUUAAUAAAAAUCUUUAUAUCGUAAAAAAGAUUGUAACAUCACUUUAUCGAUCUGUCUUCAAAGCUUUUUCAACGCCUAUACGUUUCGAGAGAAAAGUUAUAAAAUAUUUAAUAUAUAAACGCCGUUACCAGUAAACGCCUCUGGCCAACAAACUAAUAUGAAUUUCAAUUUAUGAAAACAAACUUUCGAAAUAUCGAGAGAGUAAGAGAGAGAGAGAGAGAGAGAGAGAGAGAGAGAGAGAGAGAGAGAGAGAGAGAGAGAGAUUAUUUGUCCGUCAUUAAACUUAUAACACUUUUACAUACAUAAAAGUUAACUAGAAAUCAUUCUCUUUAUCUUGAUAAUAUUUUAAAUAUGAGGAACCUUAUUCGGGCUUAUUUAAAGAAUUCUCCAAAUAAACGCUUGAGAGUUUUGGUAUUCCAAAUAUAACCGAAUUACAUUACGAUCAAUUUCAAUGGUAUAUAUACAAUGGACCCGAGGGAAUAGUUCGUAUAUGUUUGCCAUUAUAAAUAGAUAUAAAAAUAAUCACGAUAGGUUUUCGAAUCAAAUGAACAUCGAUAUCAAGCGAUCGUCGUUAUGAUGGCUUAUCAUGUAAAUAAAAAAAAAAAA